GACGAACGCUGGCGGCGUGCCUAACACAUGCAAGUCAGGGAGAAAGAGGUAGCAAUAUCUCGAGUAAACCGGCGAACGGGUGAGUAACACGUAGGUAACCUGCCCUCGAGUUGGGAAUAACUUCGAGAAAUCGAGGCUAAUACCGGAUAAUGCAACGAACCCGCAUGGGUUUGUUGUUAAAGUUCCGCGCAAGCGGAACGCUUGAGGAUGGACCUGCGGCCGAUUAGCUAGUUGGCGGAGAACAGCCCACCAAGGCGACGAUCGGUAGCCGACCUGAGAGGGUGACCGGCCACACUGGGACUGAGAUACGGCCCAGACUCCUACGGGAGGCAGCAGUGAGGAAUAUUGGUCAAUGGCCGAAAGGCUGAACCAGCAACGCCGCGUGAGGGAUGAAGAUCUAAGGAUCGUAAACCUCUGUUAGGAGGGACGAAGAGUCCAUCGUGAACGAUGGAAUUUGACGGUACCUCCAGAGAAACGCCCCGGNUAACUCCGUGCCAGCAGCCGCCGCAGUAA
rnacentral:rRNA from 1 species